AGUGAACGCUGGCGGUAGGCCUAACACAUGCAAGUCGAACGGCAGCACAGUAAGAGCUUGCUCUUACGGGUGGCGAGUGGCGGACGGGUGAGGAAUACAUCGGAAUCUACUUUUUCGUGGGGGAUAACGUAGGGAAACUUACGCUACUACCGCAUACGACCUACGGGUGAAAGCAGGGGAUCUUCGCACCUUGCGCGAUUGAAUGAGCCGAUGUCGGAUUAGCUAGUUGGCGGGGUAAAGGCCCACCAAGGCGACGAUCCGUAGCUGGUCUGAGAGGAUGAUCAGCCACACUGGAACUGAGACACGGUCCAGACUCCUACGGGAGGCAGCAGUGGGGAAUAUUGGACAAUGGGCGCAAGCCUGAUCCAGCCAUACCGCGUGGGUGAAGAAGGCCUUCGGGUUGUAAAGCCCUUUUGUUGGGAAAGAAAAGCAGCAGGUUAAUACCCCGCUGUUCUGACGGUACCCAAAGAAUAAGCACCGGCUAACUUCGUG
rnacentral:rRNA from 1 species